CCCCUCUCAGGGUCGCACCUGGAGAGUUUCCAGUCCUCUCCCAGUCUCGGCUAUGGGAGGGGAGAGUCGAGCAGAGGCCCGUCCGUUCCAUUCCUAGCUUGGCCAGUGGCUAGCGAGUGGAAGGCGAUCUGCCCCAAGU